UACGUAGGGUGCAAGCGUUGUCCGGAAUUAUUGGGCGUAAAGAGCUCGUAGGCGGUUUGUCGCGUCUGCUGUGAAAAUCCAGGGCUUAACCCUGGACCUGCAGUGGGUACGGGCAGACUAGAGUGCGGUAGGGGAGAUCGGAAUCCUGGUGUAGCGGUGAAAUGCGCAGAUAUCAGGAGGAACACCGGUGGCGAAGGCGGAUCUCUGGGACGGUACUGACGCUGGAGACGCGAAGCGUGGGGAGCGAACAGGAUUAAGAAACC
rnacentral:rRNA from 1 species